GCUCUCGUGGCCCAAUGGAUAAGGCAUCCGCUUCCGGAGCGGAGGAUUGUGGGUUCGAGUCCCACCGGGAGCU
rnacentral:tRNA from 1 species